GACAGAGGGUGCAAACGUUGUCCGGAAUUACUGGGCGUAAAGCGCGUGUAGGCGGCCCUGCAAGUCGGAUGUGAAAUCCCACGGCUCAACCGUGGAAGUGCAUUCGAAACUGCAGGGCUAGAGUCCUGGAGAGGAAGGUGGAAUGCUUGGUGUAGAGGUGAAAUUCGUAGAUAUCAAGCGGAACACCGGUGGCGAAGGCGGCCUUCUGGACAGUGACUGACGCUGAGACGCGAAAGCGUGGGGAGCAAACAGG
rnacentral:rRNA from 1 species